GACGAACGCUGGCGGCGUGCUUAACACAUGCAAGUCGAGCGAACAGACGCGGCGUUUGUGUCUCUCACGUUUGCCGAACGCGGGAGAGAAACAUGUGUAUCAUCCCCUUAUCAUUCUGGUAACUUCUCGGGACACCGGCUAUUACCCCGUAUGAUAUCUUGCACCGUAUGGUUCGUAGGUGAAUUUCGGCCGUUGGGGCUUGUCUCGCGGCAUCCCCGCUGCAUUAGCUAGUUGGGCAGGUAAUGGCUUUUCAAGGCAACGAUGCAUAGCCGAGCUGAGAGAGUGAUCGGCCACACUGGAACUGAGACACGGUCCAGACGCCUACGGGAGGCAGCAGUAGGGAAUCUUCCGCAAUGGGCGAAAGCCUGACGGAGCAACGCCGCGUGAGUGAUGAAGGUCUUCGGAUCGUAAAACUCUGUUAUUAGGGGAGAACAUAUGUGUAAGUAGCUGUGCACAUCUUGACGGUACCUAAUCAGAAAGCCACGGCUAACUACGUG
rnacentral:rRNA from 1 species